GACGAACGCUGGCGGCGUGCCUAAUACAUGCAAGUAGAACGCUGAAGAGAGGAGCUUGCUCUUCUUGGAUGAGUUGCGAACGGGUGAGUAACGCGUAGGUAACCUGCCUUGUAGCGGGGGAUAACUAUUGGAAACGAUAGCUAAUACCGCAUAACAAUGGAUGACACAUGUCAUUUAUUUGAAAGGGGCAAUUGCUCCACUACAAGAUGGACCUGCGUUGUAUUAGCUAGUAGGUGAGGUAACGGCUCACCUAGGCGACGAUACAUAGCCGACCUGAGAGGGUGAUCGGCCACACUGGGACUGAGACAUGGCCCAGACUCCUACGGGAGGCAGCAGUAGGGAAUCUUCGGCAAUGGGGGCAACCCUGACCGAGCAACGCCGCGUGAGUGAAGAAGGUUUUCGGAUCGUAAAGCUCUGUUGUAAGUCAAGAACGAGUGUGAGAGUGGAAAGUUCACACUGUGACGGUAGCUUACCAGAAAGAGACGGCUAACUACGUG
rnacentral:rRNA from 1 species